CAACCUGGAAGAUAUGUUUUGUUCCUAACCAUCUAUAAUCCAUUCUCUAUGAAGUGAAGCCUGGCUGCUGGUCUUCCUUUGGAAAUACACAGGGAAAGCAAACUACUUGAGUGUUUCUACUGUCCCCCGAGAUCUGCUUAUGAGUACAUGGGGACUGCGGUGGACCUUCUCUCCUGUUUAAAUAUACUUUGGAGGCUGGGGCAUGAAUCUUCAUUCACAAAAGGUAUCAACAGUAUGUCUGUGGAAGUUCCAUUAUUCUUGGGAGUUAUGCCCAGCAACACAAACCAAUCAUGUCCAGCAUGUACAUUGGAUCUGCUAACUUUACUUUAGGAUUCCUUGGAUUUCAAAAGUUCAUCAUGUUCAGGAAAGAAGACAUUUUAAUUGGUAAAUGAAGGAGAGAAAAAUUGCAAGGGAGGAGGUGUAUAGUUUACAUGGUGCAUUUUAAGUACUAUGACUAGGGUGAAGAAGGGAAUUUCACUUGGAUAACUGAGGCUUGGUUAACUGAGGAACAGAAACAACACAGCUCUGUGGUCUGUAUAAACAGAUGAUUAACAGAUGAUUAAUAGCUGGCCAUACCAAGAUUGAACCUGACCACCCCAUUUUGGAGUAUAGAAGCUAAAUUGGAGAAAGUUAAAUAUAGGAAUUUUAGCAGAGGGAAAUUUAUUUUAUCAGAGAUAGCACAUUCUGUUCAUAAGUCAAGGAAACAUAUACAUAGCAUUCUACAUAUUGUCCAGGACAAGAAGAAGCCAGUGGUGUUUUAUAAUUGAAAACCUCAGUGACAUCUCUUCAGAAUGUUUUCUAGACCUUUGAAAUUUUAAACUAAAAAAUCAUAACAUGUAUAUCACAGAGAGAAGACUUGAUAUUGGAAGAUAUGCAUACUUGUUUUAAAACUAUCAGAGAAUUUUGCUCAUCAGAAACUGCAAAAGAUACUGUUUGUACAACCCUGUGCAACACUAACCGGAGGUCAUAGAUACAGAAAAAGACAAACCUACCAAUGCAAAACAGAAGUAAUCCAUACUACAUGUUCAUAGCUUAUAUCUGAAGACUAAUCAUAAAAAUCAUUGCCUGUUUAAUAUAAUAUCUAUGAAGUUUUUAGAAUGAGAAGAUUUUUUUCCUGCAUAGACAGUGGUUAUCCAUUUUUUAUUUAUUUAUUUUUUUAUUUUUUUUAAUUUUUUUUUUAAAACAUCACUUUAAAGUAUGUGAGUGUCCAGAUUAUUUGUAUUCUAAUAAAUUAAAAGUUCUGAAAAAAUAAAAAGACAUACCAGAAAUAUUCAUGUAUAUUACCAUUGAAUAGAUGAAAAAAACCCUGAUCUUUUAAAGUUUUAAGCUGU